ensembl:lncRNA
AUGCCAAAUACAGCACUUUUCCCGGAUGGCAUUCUUCACACAUUACACUUGGCAAGGUUCUUCAUUGUUGCGGGUCCUAUCCAGCACAGAGUUGUGGAUGUUCACACCCAGCCUUCUUUUCCUGCCUGCUCCUCUAUAAUCCCAGACAUGCAACCCAGAUACGCCUGGGGCCUCCAGACACCACUAACUUCUCAGCCAAAGACAUUUCCUCUCUGCUAUCCUGGUUCACUGACAGCAUCCUCACCUCGUCCAUCACAGUCUGGGUUCCUGUAUCCUCAAUGGCUGAUCUGCCCAGCUAAGAUUACCUGUCAAUACUUGAGGAACUUUAAAUCCUGACAUAAGAUCACCUGCAACCAAGCAAUAAAUUAG